rnacentral:rRNA from 1 species
AUUGAACGCUGGCGGCAGGCCUAACACAUGCAAGUCGAACGAGUGGCGGACGGGUGAGUAAUGCCUGGGACACUUCCUGAUGGAGGGGGAUAACUACGGGAAACUGUAGCUAAUACCGCGUACCAUAGGAUGAGCCCAAGUGGGAUUAGGUAGUUGGUGGGGUAAAGGCUCACCAAGGCGACGAUCUCUAGCUGGUCUGAGAGGAUGACCAGCCACACUGGAACUGAGACACGGCCCAGACUCCUACGGGAGGCAGCAGUGGGGAAUAUUGCACAAUGGGGGCAACCCUGAUGCAGCCAUGCCGCGUGUAUGAAGAAGGCCUUCGGGUUGUAAAGUACUUUCGGCGGGGAGGCGUUACCCGCAGAAGAAGCACCGGCUAACUCCGUGCCAGCAGCCGCGGUAAUUC